UUCCGGUUGAUCCUGCCGGACCUGACUGCUAUCGGAUUGAUACUAAGCCAUGCGAGUUUUUGUAGCAAUACAAGGCAUACGGCUCAGUAACACGUAGUCAAUCUAACCUAUGGACGAGGAUAACCUCGGGAAACUGAGAAUAAUACUCGAUAGAUCAUUAUGCCUGGAACGGUUUAUGGUUAAAAUGAAUUUCGCCAUAGGAUGGGACUGCGGUCUAUCAGCUUGUUGGUGAUGUAAUGGACCACCAAGGCUAUAACAGAUACGGGCUCUGAGAGGAGAAGCCCGGAGAUGGGUACUGAAACACGGACCCAGGCCCUAUGGGGCGCAGCAGGCGAGAAAACUUUGCAAUGUGCGAAAGCACGACAAGGUUAAUCCGAGUGAUUCCUGCUAAAGGAAUCUUUUGUUUGUCAUAAAACCACUAAUGAAUAAGAGGUGGGCAAGUUCUGGUGUCAGCCGCCGCGGUAAAACCAGCACCUCAAGUGGUCAGGAUGAUUAUUGGGCCUAAAGCAUCCGUAGCCGGCUCUGUAAGUUUUCGGUUAAAUCCAUAUGCUCAACAUAUGGGCCGCCGGGAAUACUGCAUAGCUAGGGAGUGGGAGAGGUAGACGGUACUCCGUAGGAAGGGGUAAAAUCCUUUGAUCUAUGGAUGACCACCAGUGGCGAAGGCGGUCUACCAGAACACGUUCGACGGUGAGGGAUGAAAGCUGGGGGAGCAAACCGGAUUAGAUACCCGGGUAGUCCCAGCUGUAAACGAUGCAAACUCAGUGAUGCAUUGGCUUGUGGCCAGUGCAGUGCCGCAGAGAAGUCGUUAAGUUUGCCGCCUGGGAAGUACGUACGCAAGUAUGAAACUUAAAGGAAUUGGCGGGGGAGCACCACAAGGGGUGAAGCCUGCGGUUCAAUUGGAGUCAACGCCGGGA
rnacentral:rRNA from 1 species